rnacentral:rRNA from 1 species
AUUGAACGCUGGCGGCAGGCCUAACACAUGCAAGUCGAGCGGAUGAAGGGAGCUUGCUCCUGGAUUCAGCGUCGGACGGGUGAGUAAUGCCUAGGAAUCUGCCUGGUAGUGGGGGAUAACGUCCGGAAACGGGCGCUAAUACCGCAUACGUCCUGAGGGAGAAAGUGGGGGGUCUUCGGACCUCACGCUAUCAGAUGAGCCUAGGUCGGAUUAGCUAGUUGGUGGGGUAAAGGCCUACCAAGGCGACGAUCCGUAACUGGUCUGAGAGGAUGAUCAGUCACACUGGAACUGAGACACGGUCCAGACUCCUACGGGAGGCAGCAGUGGGGAAUAUUGGACAAUGGGCGAAAGCCUGAUCCAGCCAUGCCGCGUGUGUGAAGAAGGUCUUCGGAUUGUAAAGCACUUUAAGUUGGGAGGAAGGACAGUAAGUUAAUACCUUGCUGUUUUGACGUUACCAACAGAAUAAGCACCGGCUAACUUCGUG